AUGCUCCUCCGCUCUCCUCUCCCACACCACUCUGCUCUCAGUUCUCCCACCGUUCCCGAGCCUCCACAGCGCAGCCGGGCGCCCAUGGAAGAGCCAUUCAUUGUUACUGGCAAGAUAAUUGGUACGAUGAUAAGAAACGGGGAAUUGGUUCCAGAAGCAGGGAUGGAGUGCCCAAACUGCAAACAUCGCAUUGAUAAUAGUGAUGUUUCAUCACAGUGGUCAGGACUCCCUAUUGGUGUUAAAUUUGAUUCAACGGAUCUUGAACUGCUUGGACAUUUAGAAGGCAAGAUUGGCAGGGCAGUGUCCCAUGUACUAAUAGAUGAUUUUAUUCCAACCAUAGAGAUGGCGGAAGGAAUCUGCUAUACACAUCCGGAAAAUCUCCCUGGUGUCAAAUUAGACGGGAUCGCCAGUCAUUUCUUCCACAAAAUAUGCAAUGCCUAUGAUGUUGGCACGCGCAAGCGUCGCAAGAUUAGGAGCAACGACUACAAAGUUUGUGAUAAGAAUCUCAGAUGGCACAAGACUGGAAAAUCCAGACAUAUCUUAGAUAAUAAUGGUGACAUAAAAGGGUGGAAGAAAAUAAUGGUUCUUAGGAAAGGAGGUGCCAAGGCAGAAAAGACUAAUUGGACGAUGCAUCAGUAUCACCUUGGGGUAGAUGAAAAUGAAAUGUACGUAUGUUGUACCAGCGGCGGAGCUUCAUGGGGGCCAACCUGGGCGGUGGCCCCCCCAGCCCAAGAAAAAUUCACCUAA
rnacentral:rRNA from 1 species